UACGGAGGGGGCGAGCGUUAUUCGGAAUUAUUGGGCGUAAAGGGCGCGUAGGCGGCUUCAUAAGUCAAAGGUGAAAUCCCUCGGCUCAACUGAGGAACUGCCUUUGAAACUGUGAGGCUUGAGGCCGGGAGGGGGGACUGGAAUUCUCGGUGUAGCAGUGAAAUGCGUAGAUAUCGAGAGGAACACCAGUGGCGAAGGCGAGUCCCUGGACAACACCUGACACUGAGGCACGAAAGCUAGGGGAGCAAACAGG
rnacentral:rRNA from 1 species